CAGUCGCCGCGGGAAUACAGAGGGUGCAAGCGUUAAUCGGAAUUACUGGGCGUAAAGCGCGCGUAGGUGGUUUGUUAAGUUGGAUGUGAAAGCCCCGGGCUCAACCUGGGAACUGCAUCCAAAACUGGCAAGCUAGAGUACGGUAGAGGGUGGUGGAAUUUCCUGUGUAGCGGUGAAAUGCGUAGAUAUAGGAAGGAACACCAGUGGCGAAGGCGACCACCUGGACUGAUACUAACACUGAGGUGCGAAAGCGUGGGGAGCAAACAGGAUUAGAUACCCGAGUAGUCCCUGUCUCUUAUAC
rnacentral:rRNA from 1 species